rnacentral:lncRNA from 13 species
GUUUGGGAGUGGAGAAAAAGGCUGGUUAAGUGUUCGGAAGUGGAGACUAAGGAUGAGACAGACUGGUAAUUGAUUCUGAGAGAAAUUUCUCCAAGGACUCCUGCAGCUCUCCUUUGAACAUAUGAAGAGGGAACAUUCUUUCAGUCCCAGAAGCUGCUGAAGCAGAGUUGGAGAACCCCAGACUGAAGGGCUUUGAUUUCACCCUGUACAUCCAAGGGCACAAGGAUCAUAUGAACAAACUAUGCUAGAAACUGCUAUGAGAAGACUGUCCCUUUUGACCUGCGUGACGUCUAACAUUCCAU